rnacentral:rRNA from 1 species
AACGUAGGUUCCGAGCGUUAUCCGGAUUUACUGGGCGUAAAGCGCGUUCAGGCGGUUCGGCAAGUCGGGCAUGAAAUCUCUCGGCUCAACCGGGAGAGGUUGUCCGAUACUGUUGGACUUGAGGGCAGUAGAGGGUGGUGGAAUUCCGGGUGUAGUGGUGAAAUGCGUAGAUAUCGGGAGGAACACCAGUGGCGAAGGCGGCUUUCUGGUCUGUUCUUGACGCUGAGGCGCGAAAGCUAGGGUAGCAAACGGG